AGCAAGGGUAUCUCUCCUUCCUGGCCACUUUUAGGGGAUGAGCUGGGGCUACCAAAGUCUGUUUAUACUGAACCGAGACCCUCUCUUGCUUUGUAGGUGGACUGGGACUCCUGGGCAGGAAUCGGCAGGGUGGGUGGGGUAUCGCUAGGGAGAAGGUGGGUGGAGAUAGAGGAGGAAUGCCAGCACAUCAUAUGUGGUCCUGGGGGCCACCAGAAGCACCUAAGAUGAGUGGCAGCCACUGGCCUUACCAGUGCCUCUGUCAGGAAGCACAGGAUGGCAGCCAACACAGUUCACCAUCAAAGGGAGCACCUGACUCCACAACCUCAUGGCAGCCAGACCCAGGCUGCAUCUCCAGAAUUCCUUGCAGUGGCUGAGAAGACAGAACUGGGUUCUUGGUGUCUCUAGACCCUUCCCGUCUGAGAGGAGGGACCAUCGGCAUGGACCAGGUUCCCAAGGAUCAGGAGCGACCCAAGUUACAACCUUUACCCUUGUGGGCACCAUCUGAGUGCUGAGCUGUUGCUGUCUGGGCACCACACUGAUCUCCAGGGUCAUGCCAGAUCCCAGACAGCACUUCCUGUUCCUUGCUGUUGGCUGACAGCCACACAGGGCCCCUGCCAUGAAAUACAGCCACCUGUAUGCCAAGAAGGCAUCAGGUCCAGCAAGAGACUCAGUGUUUUGACUUUGGUUUGGUGCGAUCUUCAUUUGAGGUGCGCUGUGUGCCACAGUGUUUGCCUAGGAACUGGAUUCCUGAGACCUCAGGCUGAGAGGAGCUCCUUAGGUGUUCACAUCUGUGUUUCUUCACCCCCAUUGGUGCCUCUGUGACUGGGUGCUACUCUCCAGCCGCUCUCCCACACACACUGGUGUCCAGGGCCCUGAGUCCUUGCCCCCUUGGGCCUCCCUCCUCCGGAACUUUCCCUGUCUUGUACGGGCUACACACAUGUGCCCAGACCUGUACCUUCAAAAACAAGAGUAGACCUAGCAGUCUACCUGCCUUGAAUCUCAUGCUGGCCUUGAACUCUCUAGGUAGCUUGGGAUGACCUUGAACUCCCAAUCUUCCUGUCUCUACCUGCCCAAGUGCUGGGAUCAUAUGUGUGUGCUACCAUGGCUGGCUGGCAUGGAGUGUGGCUUCUGAUUGGACAGAAAUAGUUCUUUGUGCUGUCAGUGGCUACAUAAUAUAAAUGCCCCUCACACACACACACACACAUACUUAAGAGGAAAGUUUCAACUCUGGAAAAUUACAUCCAGGAAAUGAGGGAAGUUUCUGCCUUGGGGACAUUUGAAAUCAGUUUCCUGGGUUGGUCUCAACCUACAAGGAGAAUUACUGGCUCCGGUGACUUUUACUGCAACCAUUUCUGGGGGCCUCUGGCAGCCAGGAAUGCUUGUACAGGCUGUCCUGGUGACAGGAGUUACAGCCAGGGUACA